GGAAGAAUGAAACGAGCGGUAUCGCCAAAAGGUAAAAUAGUUGUUUGUUUGUUAUCAUUUCUGUUGUUGUUUGUUGUAUUUCGUUUUGUUUUA
rnacentral:ribozyme from 14 species